ACGGGUGAGUAACACGUGGGCAAUCUGCCCUUCACUCUGGGACAAGCCCUGGAAACGGGGUCUAAUACCGGAUAUCACUUCCACUCGCAUGGGUGGGGGUUGAAAGCUCCGGCGGUGAAGGAUGAGCCCGCGGCCUAUCAGCUUGUUGGUGAGGUAACGGCUCACCAAGGCGACGACGGGUAGCCGGCCUGAGAGGGCGACCGGCCACACUGGGACUGAGACACGGCCCAGACUCCUACGGGAGGCAGCAGUGGGGAAUAUUGCACAAUGGGCGAAAGCCUGAUGCAGCGACGCCGCGUGAGGGAUGACGGCCUUCGGGUUGUAAACCUCUUUCAGCAGGGAAGAAGCGAAAGUGACGGUACCUGCAGAAGAAGCGCCGGCUAACUACGUGCCAGCAGCCGCGGUAAUACGUAGGGCGCAAGCGUUGUCCGGAAUUAUUGGGCGUAAAGAGCUCGUAGGCGGUCUGUCGCGUCGGAUGUGAAAGCCCGGGGCUUAACCCCGGGUCUGCAUUCGAUACGGGCAGACUAGAGUGUGGUAGGGGAGAUCGGAAUUCCUGGUGU
rnacentral:rRNA from 1 species